GACGAACGCUGGCGGCGUGCUUAACACAUGCAAGUCGAACGGAAAGGCCCUGCUUUUGUGGGGUGCUCGAGUGGCGAACGGGUGAGUAACACGUGAGUAACCUGCCCUUGACUUUGGGAUAACUUCAGGAAACUGGGGCUAAUACCGGAUAGGAGCUCCUGCUGCAUGGUGGGGGUUGGAAAGUUUCGGCGGUUGGGGAUGGACUCGCGGCUUAUCAGCUUGUUGGUGGGGUAGUGGCUUACCAAGGCUUUGACGGGUAGCCGGCCUGAGAGGGUGACCGGCCACAUUGGGACUAAGAUACGCCCCAGACUCCUACGGGAGGCAGCAGUGGGGAAUAUUACACAAUGGGCGGAAGCCUGUUGCAGCAGCCUCGCGUGCGUGAUGACGGCCUUCGGGUUGUAAACCGCUUUCGCCUGUGACGAAGCGUGAGUGACGGUAAUGGGUAAAGAAGCACCGGCUAACUACGUG
rnacentral:rRNA from 1 species